UAUCAGCACCCCGAGUGAUCGGGACGAUUAUUGGGCCUAAAGCAUCCGUAGCCGGUUCUACAAGUCUUCCGUUAAAUCCACCUGCUUAACAGAUGGGCUGCGGAGGAUACUAUAGAGCUAGGAGGCGGAGAGGCAAGCGGUACUUAGUGGGUAGGGGUAAAAUCCGUUGAUCCAUUGAAGACCACCAGUGGCGAAGGCGGCUUGCCAGAACGCACUCGACGGUGAGGGAUGAAAGCUGGGGGAGCAAACUGG
rnacentral:rRNA from 1 species